GGCCGGUUGGCCCAAUGGUAAGGCGUCUGACUACGACACUCUCCAACAGGAGUUGCGGUAAUCAGGAGAUUCUGGGUUCGAGCCCCAGGCUGGUCA